AUUUACAAGAAAAGAAAUUUAAUUCAGAACAAAGAAUAGAUAGAAAAGCCAUGACUUUUCAAUUAACCAAACAAUACUUGUUAGCCAAGAUUAUUAUGAUAAUCCGAUGUAUACUACACUUUACAUUCGCCACUCUCUUAUUCAUUGGAUACAACACAGAGAAUACAACAUGCAGAACCAGUAAUCGGCCAAUCAGUUAAGUCGAGCAUUGUUUCGAACAAACGCGCGAGAGCACCAGAGGGUUGUCCCUAAUCCUUGCGGCCUAUCGAAAAUCCAUGAUCGAAAUAUAUCUACUCUGUCAAACGCAUGCGUACCUAGAUCGGGCUACCCUUUCGUCCGACAAGGAUUUUUACGGCUUUCAAUCCUGUCAGAAUGAAGGACGUGUCGCCUCUGGAUUUGCCAUCGAAAUCUUUGUUAUGUACUUUGCCAUAAAUCAGGAUGCGCUUCAAUCGAUGGGUUAUGAUCCGAUCACGUGGAAUAUAUUAAAUCAACGGUGGACGUGAAAGAAAAGUAUUUAUAUUAUUCCUUAAUAAAGUAAGUAUUAAUAGUAGUAAGUAAAAUAAUAAUUGCAAAAAGAAUAUUAAAAACUAAAUCGAAAGAAUAUUAAUAAUGAAUAAAUCUAACCUUAUAUCUUCAUAGAAAUUAUAUUAAAUUAUAUUAUAUAAAGGAAAGAACUUAUAUUAUUUCUUAGAGAAAUAAGUGUGAUAAUAGUCGUGAAGAAAAAUCGGAAAAAUAUUAAUAAUGUAUAGACUUAACCUUACAUCUUUGCUCUCAUGGUUGAGUUUUCACCGUGGUUUCGAACCCUUUGUUCUAGUAUGGGUCACGUGCCGUCGUUGAUGGGAGAACUAUCGUCCAUGAAAGAGGCUUCCCACUCUCUAUUGUGGCCACGACGGUUGAGGGGUUGAGCAAAACAGAGACAAGAAGAAGAUAGAAAAGGGAGUAAAAGAGAGACGGUCGAACGACAGAAACGCAAAAGGGUGGUUUUGCCCAGACUCACAAGUGGCAGCUUUUAAUCUCUUCCAGGGAUAUCUCAACUCAAGUCUGAAUUGUACCUCGUUACCAACGGUUUAAUUGCUUGUUAAUGGAUAAUCGAAGUAUUUUACGAAUUGGCUCCGGGAAUACUAACCAUCGACUUCAU